rnacentral:tRNA from 1 species
GCCGAUGUAGCUCAGUGGUAGAGCGGGCGUUUCAUAAGCGCUAGGUCGGAGGUCCGAUUCCUCCCAUCGGCA